AAUGCUAACCCAGUGUUGCAUCAUCGUCGUCAUCAUCGGGCACGGGUGUGUGUUCCCCGACGGUACACGAUAAUUGUUACGCAGGUGCCGGACCGCCUGCGUUAGGCGGCGUUUGGUUGUCUUACAAUUUCGUUACGCGUUAUCUUUGUUCGUCGUAAUGCAAUAGUUAUGCAAGUCGGUACGGUUUUAUUGCCGCAAUCGAUAAACC